ACUCAGACCACCUUCCUGAGUGAGUUCAACUUGGGACUGAGGAAGAACACCUGCAGGACUUAUACGCACCUCCUCAUAUUUGUAGAGCAUCAUGGUGAACUUGGAGAGGGGAUCUGCAAAGCUUUUGGAAAUACUAUUUUACACUUGGGAACACGUGGGAGUUUCUACCGACUUCCAUCUUGCCCACCCUACUUCCUCCUAAGUAAGGUUACAGGAAUAAGUAAGGCUGACUACAGUCUAAUGCGCCUAUAUCUCCUGUUACUUCAGGGGCAGAGGCAGGAAGCUGGCUGAGGUGAGGAGUUUAAGAUCAGCAUGAGAG
rnacentral:lncRNA from 1 species